CGGAGGGCGUGGAGCGCCCCGCCGGCCAUUGGGCCACGGGCUUAGCAACAGCGGCAAGGGCCAACCCCGGCGCUCCAGCAGCUGGGCCUCCUUCCAAGGAUGGGUGCCAAACGCCGCGCUCCUCUGCCAAGAAAACAAACAAGGGCACUUUUAAAAACUCCAGAGUUAAACAGCAUGCUGCAGGUUCCCUCCUUCCCACCAGGAAUCUCUGCCGCCUGCAUCAGCGCUGAAACCUGCCUGCCCCUGCCACGCGUUUAUGGAACUUACAUAAUUUACUGCCUGUGUCACUCUCUCGUCUGCUACCUCUUCAUUCAUUUCAAGCCUGUUAAAGAAGUGGAAUAAGAAGCACGCAGACUUAACUAGGCAAAAAGUGGCUUGUAGCCACAAACCUUUUUUUUUUUUUUUUCCCUGCAGAGGAAGAAGAAAGAAUUUGGGAAUUCUGGUCUCGUUUUAUUAAAGAUAUAUUUUUACAUUAUAUUUUUAGUGCAGUCUUUCUUACAUAUUAGCCUUUGUGAUAGCUGAAGUUGGGGUAGCGCCAGACUUUUGCUGAGAAGAAAUAUGGACUGUGUUUUUUUACCAGCUGAGAAAUGUUCAGGUCCAUGGUGUGUCCCAAAAUCUCUUCUUUCCCUGUGAAGGAGUAAAGCAGAGAAGUCAAAGCCCAUUUCCAAGAAACACCAACUCUCUUCAGGUCCCCGUGGCUUAGCGCCUGCCCAGAGAGAGCGCUCGCCUUGGAUCCUGAUUUUGAGCACUAAAGGAAGAAAAUGGAACUGACUUUUCUGUUGCUGUUGUUGUUGUUGUUGCUAUAAGACACUCUGUAGGAGGUGAAGCCAAACUUACCUCUGGGGAAAUAUUAAACACUUCACAGAGAAAGGCCCAAAGAGGCAAAUAUUGCAGCUCUCUUCUCACGCCAGUCAUCCCAUUAACUUCAGAGACAUUGCUCCUAUGAGUGAGGCUGCUGGGGUCAGGCCUCUGUACACAGUAGCACCUCCAAAGGUUAAAGGAUGUCAUUUGCAGUCAUGAUCUUGUUUCACUUCCUACCUCCACCUCUGAUUUACUGAGAAACCUCAAAUAAAUCACUUAACCUCUCUAAGAAGGAGUUUACU
rnacentral:lncRNA from 1 species